ACGGUUACCGGUGGUGGUGUGUCAAAAGCGGUUGCGCGGAAGAGUAAGGAGCCAUCCCAUCAGUUAGUAAGUAGGGUAAGGGCCUACUUAGACGAAGACGGGUACGGGGAAUUGUGGUUUGAUUCCGGAGAGGGAGCCUGAGAGACGGCUACCAGGUCCAAGGACAGCAGCAGGCGCGAAAAUUACCGAAGCCUCCGGUGAGGGCGGUAGUAAGGAGACGUGGAAACGAUGAGGAGGUAAAGAAUGCUCUGGUAACAGGAGGUCAAGACUGGUGCCAGCAUCCGCGGUAAUACCAGCUCCUGGAGUGUCUAUGAUGAUUGCUGCAGUUAAAGAGUUCGUAGUCGGGCUGCGUGACUGGCGUGAAAGGCCUUCUUUCAAGGGGGGCAGAGCGCUAGGAAAGCAGAGGAUAAGGAGCGUUUUGGGGCCAGGUUAUUAAGCGACGAGAGGUGAAAUUUGAUGACUCGCUUAGGAGGAACAGAGGCGAAAGCGCUGGCCAGGGGCGAAUCCGAUGAUAAAGGACGUAGGCUAGAGGAUCGAAGACGAUUAGAGACCGUUGUAGUUCUAGCAGUAAACGAUGCCGAUGCCGUGGUGCGUGCGCGCGACGCGGAGGAGAAAUUGAGUAGGGCCCUGGGGAGAGUACACGCGCAAGCGAGAAAUUUAAAGGAAAUUGACGGAAGAACACCACAAGGAGUGGAGUGUGCGGCUUAAUUUGACUCAACGCGGGACAGCUUACCAGGCCCGACGACCGCAGGAGUGUUGUACACGAUAGGUCGAAGAGUGGUGCAUGGCCGUUAACGACAAGUGGGGUGACCUUUGGGUUAAGUCCGGGAAGUAGUGAGACCCCUGCUGUUUUUUGGACAGGACAGGUGCUCAAAGCACAGGAAGGAAGGGUCAAGAACAGGUCAGUGAUGCCCUUAGAUGGUCUGGGCUGCACGCGCACUACAGUGGUCACAGAAAGGAUUUUCGAGAGAUAAUGGUGAUCGAGAGGGAAUGAGCUUUGCAAGAGGCUCAGGAACGAGGAAUUGCUAGUAAUCGCGGGCUCAUUAAGACGCGAUGAAUACGUCCCUGUUCUUUGUACACACCGCCCGUCGUUAUCGAAGAUGGAGUCAGGCGCGAACAAGCGAGAGCGAGUGAGUGCAGGAUUCUAGAUGUGAUACAAGUCGUAACAAGGUAGCUGUAGGAGAACCUGUAGCUGGAUCAGAGCGAUGGUAGAGAUUUGGUUUUGAUGAGUAUGCCCUGCGCAAGGGAUCUUUUGGCUCGCUGUGCGAGGAAGGGCGCAGCUGCGGGCGAAAUGUGCCGGAGCGGCAGCGGUGAUGGCACGUGCCCGAAGAUGCGCGAGCAGGCAGACCCCUUUGAAUUAAGCAUAUGAGUAGAGGGAGGAAAAGAAACUAACAAGGAUUCCCGCAGUAGCGGCGAGCGAAGAGGGAAGAGCCCGGAGUGCAAUCGCAGCGAUGCGAGAUGUCAGGAGUGCGCGGAACCGUUCUGGAAAGACGGGCCGGAGAGGGUGAGAGCCCCGUGGACGCGUGCGUUGGUGUUGGAGUAGCGGUGCUUGGUAGUGCACCGUGAAUGGGUGGCAGCGUGCAUCCAAGGCUAAAUACUGCAGCGAGACCGAUAGUGGAUAAGUAGAGUGAUCGAAGAAGGAAUAGUUUGAAAAGGUGAAAUUGCGCAGGGAGCCGAGCGGCUCGGCCCCGUCUUGAAACACGGACCAAGGAGUGCAAGUACGCGGCGAGUCGGGGGCGGUGAGUGCCCUGGGCGGAGCGAAGGCGAGGGAGCCGCGUGCCUGCGACCCGAUAGACUUGUGAACUAUGCCUGGAGGCUGCGAAGGCUGACGAAAGACAGCUGGAGGCAGUAAGCCGUUCUGAUGUGCAAAUCGAUGGCGAGAGCUGGGCAUAGGGGCGAAAGACCAAACGAACAGUCUGGUAGCUGGUUCCCCCCGAAAUGUGUAUAAGGACAGCACGCGAGCAGAGAGAGGCUAGGUAGAGCAAAGGUCGCUUAACGCGAGUGGCGAACGAACUGCGAAUGAGCCUGGCGGGCCGUGCGUGAAGACGGGCCGCGGACUUGAGCGAGCGUAGUGGGCGAGUUCUGGUAAGCAGGACUGGCGAAGAGGAAUGAACCUAGCGGGACGAUAAGGCACCCAACAUUGUGGCAGAGACGUGAAGGGUGUAGGUGAAUGAAGACGAUAGGGCGGUGGCCAUGGAAGUCGGCAUCCGGUAAGAAACGUGUUGCAACGUACCUAUGGAAUUCAGCUGCUCCGAAAAUUGACGGUGCUUACGCGAUGGCCGAUGCGUCUCUUGAGGUAGGGGGGCGUGCAGGUGCUGGAGAAGGUGUGCCGCGAGGCACGGUGGAGGCGCCUGCAGCGCAGAUCUUGGUGGUAGUUGUGAGAAUUCGUCUGGGAGGGCGAAGACCGAGGAGGAGAAGGUUUUCCUUACGAUUGACAACAGUGAGGAGUGAGCCGGUUCUGAGCGACGGUGUGGAUGCCAGAGCGACAGAGAAGCAGGA
rnacentral:rRNA from 1 species